rnacentral:rRNA from 1 species
GCAGUGAGGAAUAUUGGUCAAUGGGCGAGAGCCUGAACCAGCCAAGUCGCGUGAGGGAAGACGGUCCUAUGGAUUGUAAACCUCUUUUGCCGGGGAGCAAAGAGCGGCACGUGUGCCGCGCCGAGAGUACCCGGAGAAAAAGCAUCGGCUAACUCCGUGCC